CCUACGGGGGGCAGCAGUGGGGAAUAUUGCACAAUGAGGGAAACCCUGAUGCAGCGACGCCGCGGGAAGGAAGAAGUAUUUCGGUAUGUAAACUUCUAUCAGCAGGGAAGAAAAUGACGGUACCUGACUAAGAAGCCCCGGCUAACUCCGUGCCAGCAGCCGCGGUAAUACGUAGGGGGCAAGCGUUAUCCGGAUUUACUGGGUGUAAAGGGAGCGUAGACGGCAGUGCAAGUCUGGAGUGAAAGGCGGGGGCUCAAACCCCGGACUGCUUUGGAAACUGUACGGAUGGAGUGCAGGAGAGGUAAGUGGAAUUCCUAUUGUAGCGGUGAAAUGCGUAGAUAUUAGGAGGAACACCAGUGGCGAAGGCGGCUUACUGGACUGUAACUGACGUUGAGGCUCGAAAGCGUGGGGAGCAAACAGGAUUAGAUACCCUUGUAGUC
rnacentral:rRNA from 1 species